UCUGACCUCUCCUCUCUCCCCUGUGCUCUCCGCCGCCGCCGCCGCCGCCCUGCCUCACCCCACCUCCUUCCCUUGGCCGGCGCUCCACCCAUCCGCUCUCCCCAUUUUUGUGCGAAACCCGCGAUGGCGGCGGCUGAUUGAUGUGGGAUUUGGCGGUAGCGACGGGGCCUCAAGCAGGGAUACGAGGAGGAAGGAAGAUGGUUGUAGAUCCAUGAGGAGCACGAGGCGGCGAUCCAUAAUAGAUCCUGGGAUCAGCAUCAUGGCCGCGGAGACAAAGGCCUUCUUCCACUCAAGGCCGACCGCAGCCACGACGUUCCCCCAUGCCUCGGCGAGGUGGGCCAAGCUGGCGCAUACGGCAAAGAGCGGCUGCGGCAGCGGUGGAGUUGCGGGGGCUGGUGGUGGAUAUUGCUGCGAAAUCGACUGGUGGCGCCGCCGUGGAAAGCUUCCAUGCUCUGCAGCCGCACGGCAAGUCUUCCUCCUCCUGCUGCUGCAUCACAAAUUAGUUCAUUAUACUGUGAGUGAGCGAGCAAAGGACUAAUAAUUAUUAGCAGGUUCCUAUUCUUGACAUUCCUGAUGUUGUUUUCUAGAGCAAUGCUAUUGCACGUUAUGGUAUAUUGUUACAUAUUUUGAAUCCAAGUCUUACUGAUUUCACACUGCCUAAACUGGCCACUGUUUUCUUUUUUCCUUCAAUUGCUUGCUCAAAGGGUGACAACCUGCUAUGGGGUGGUUCUCUAAUUUCAUAUGCGAGUAAUAUGAGAAGUACUCCCAUCGUCUUAACUCAGCAAGCUUUAGUGCUUAUUUGUUAAUAAUCGUGGGUUCUGCCAUGUCACUAGCGUCCCCUCGUCGUCGACGCGGCUCAGGUGAUUGAUCUAUAUAUCGCAAUUGAUUAAGCUGGUUUUAGCAUGAGCUUGCAGUAUACAAAAUCUGAUUUUUUUUUCAUCACGUUCUGUACUAAAUAGGAGGAACUAAGAUGAGCAAUGUAUUUUAGUUCUAAGGAGAUAGAUCAUAAUUGUUGUGUGCUAAUUCUUUGAACGAACUCUUUUUUUAAUCCUUAUGUAGGUUUUAUAUUUUUGGAGAUUUACGUGAUAUGUACCAUGACUUAUGUCCUGUACGGUUGCGGGGAAUGUAUCGAGUAAAUGCAGCAUCCUUGAUGUUUGAAGUUACCGGGGCAUGGACUCUAAUUUGCAACAACAAAGUUCAUACCAUUGUUGUGUGGGUCAGUCAGAUUAUAUAGACAUGCAUGAUCCAUUUUCCGAGACGGGUGGGAUUGCUGGUACUGGAAGCGGGUGAGGAAGACAUGGCUCGGUUUGAAGUGUCACCGCGUACUGUUGGUUGGACCUUUCCUUAAAAAACUCAGCAUUAUCUCCAAUUUGUUUACAAAGUUAUAGGCAAGCCUAAACAUGUGGCGGGUUCAGUUUUUUUCAACUUUGGAGUUCAAUCUGUUCCAGAUUUGGGUCCUCACCGGCUCAUUCGAAAACGACCUCAACAUCAUCGAAGCCAGGAGGCAGGAUAGUGCGGUGCAAGACGGUGCUGGGCGAGGUGGCAAGAGGCGAUGACGACGGAUGAUACAAUGGUCAGUAGAUAAAAGGUAAGUGCCACCGCCGUUUGGUCCCUCUCCUCUCCUCCUUGCUUCUGCUUCUUUCUACAUUCAUGUUUCCUUUGCUUGCCUCGUCCGAUGUUGUUCAUCUCCAUUGCCUAAUGGGGGCCUCUUUGGGGGCUAAUCUAAGAUCAGGCAGCACAGGAGGAGAGACGGCUCUCACGGAUUAGGAUGUUGCACAUCAGGUGAACCAUUUGAUGGGCUGUUCAACAUGCUGAUCUUAUUGAUUUGUUCUUGACAUAUCCUUUGUGCUGCUGUAUUUUUUGAAUUAGUUGGUGGUUUAUAUUAGAAGUACUAACAUUCUGUCACUUUUGAGCCAUUGGUACUAUAUGUAAUUAGUAUGAACUAAAACUGCUGCUUCUGUGUUCAUAUAAGCCUCUUAAUAUCUAUGAUGUCACUAUUUUCCUUUUAAGGCUGAUCUAUUUCUUGAAUGUGUUGCAUACCUGUGGCUUAUUAUAUUUUGAGUCUAAAGCAAUAACACUACAUAGUAUAAACAGGUGAGUGAUAGGGGCGCCUCCCACCUGGCACCGCCUAACUUCCUCUCAAGCGGCGCCACCAGGUGGCGCCCCAAACACUAGUGUACAUCAGGCUGUAGCCAGCUGCACUAUAAUAGGCCUAUUGUCAAAACUGAUACUUUUUGUAUAUUAGUCCCACAUCACUCCUUUAAAUCAAAUCCCAUCAAUUUAUAUACACAAGUGAGUUGAACUAGAAUCAACCAGUCAAAAGAGUCCCAUUAAGUCAAACUCAAAAGGAGAGAAGAGACCACAUAAAGGCAGGGAGUUGGGGAAGGGACAUGCACGUCUGGUUGGCUGGCACUAAAAAUUGAGGGGAGAGGCGGUGUGGAUUACAAGAACGGCGACGACGGCGGCCAACCGGCCGGGGUCCAUGCAGUCGACGACGUCGAUGAACACCAGUCAGUGUACGGCCGGGGUUCUAAUGCAAGCUGGGCAGCAGGACGUUCACGCACCGGCUGCUCCGAUUUCCUCCAUCCAAAGCUCUUUUUUCUAUUUAUCUUAAUUAGAAGACGAUAGUGAGCGCAUGACAUCAAUGCAUACAACUUCUAAUUAUCUGGCAUCGGCUGCUCCGAUUAGUUUUCUCCUCCAUCCGAAGCUCUUUUUUCUAUUUAUCUUAAUUAGAAGACGAUAACAUGAUGAGAUGCCCUUUUAGUUCACAGAAAAUGCCUCUAAUUUUAAUUUUAUUCAUGUGAGAUUUUCAUGAGUUAUGCAAUAGUGUUUCAGGACCUGGCUACACAAUUAGCUGCAUAGGAUCAUCUUAUGUGCAUGUAUCGGUUGUGCCAUGUUUCGUCGUUCUGUAGGUCGCUGUUGUUUUAAGUCAGUUGGACUUCUCCCUGAUCCGUCUGGCCUAAGCCCACCAAACUCAGCCCACGCAAAACCGGAUCAACAAGGGUACCGAAGAGAAGAAGCAAAGAAGAAUUAACCCAGCGCAAAGGAAGCGAAUGAAGUGAAGAAGCCAUAGCA